rnacentral:rRNA from 1 species
UUACACAUGCAGUCGAGGGGUACGUGAAGCAAGCUUGCUUGCUUUGACGACGACCGGCGCACGGGUGAGUAACGCGUAUCCAACCUGCCCCUUACUACGGGACAGCCCGGCGAAAGUCGGAUUAAUACCGUAUGUGGUGUGAAGAGGGCAUCUGACUUACACUAAAGAUUCGUCGGUAAGGGAUGGGGAUGCGUCCGAUCAGGUUGUCGGCGGGGUAACGACCCACCGAGCCUUCGAUCGGUAGGGGUUCUGAGAGGAAGGUCCCCCACACUGGAACUGAGACACGGUCCAGACUCCUACGGGAGGCAGCAGUGAGGAAUAUUGGUCAAUGGGCGAGAGCCUGAACCAGCCAAGUAGCGUGAGGGAAGACUGCCCUAUGGGUUGUAAACCUCUUUAGUCUGGGAAUAAAGUUGGCGACGUGUCGCCUUUUGUAGGUACCAGAAGAAUAAGGACCGGCUAAUUCCGUGCCAGCAGCCGCGGUAAUACGGAAGGUCCGGGCGUUAUCCGGAUUUAUUGGGUUUAAAGGGAGCGCAGGCGGCCUGUUAAGCGGGCAGUUUCAAAGGCGGUGGCUCAACCAUCGUUAGCUGUCCGAACUGAUAGGCUUGAGUACGUGCGAAGGUAUGCGGGAAUUCGUGGUGUACGCCGGUGAAAUGCUUAGAUAUCACGAAGAAACCCCGAUUGCGGAAGGGGCAGCAUACCAGUUGCGCCCACUGACGCUAAAGCUCGAAAGCCGCGGGUAUCGAACAGGGAUUAGAUACCCUGGUAGUCCGCGCGGUAAACGAUGGAUGCCCGCUGGUGCGGCCUUUUAAUGGUUGCGCGGCCAAGCCGAAAGCGUUAAGCAUCCCACCUGGGGAGUACGCCGGCAACGGUGAAACUCAAAAGGAAUUGACGGGGGCCCGCACAAGCGGAGGAACAUGUGGUUUAAUUCGAUGAUACGCGAGGAACCUUACCCGGGCUUGAAUUGGCAGCUGCAUGGGGCAGAGAUGUCCCUUCCCUUCGGGCGCUGCUGUGAAGGUGCUGCAUGGUUGUCGUCAGCUCGUGCCGUGAGGUGUCGGCUUAAGUGCCAUAACGAGCGCAACCCCCCUCCCCGGUUGCCAUCGGGUAAUGCCGGGCACUCCGAGGACACUGCCACCGCAAGGUGUGAGGAAGGUGGGGAUGACGUCAAAUCAGCACGGCCCUUACGUCCGGGGCUACACACGUGUUACAAUGGCAGGCACAGAGAGCUGGCGCGUCGCAAGACGCGUCGAAUCCUUAAAUCCUGCCUCAGUUCGGACUGGGGUCUUGCAACCCGACCCCACGAAGCUGGAUUCGCUAGUAAUCGCGCAUCAGCCAUGGCGCGGUUGAAUACGUUCCCGGGCCUUGUACACACCGCCCGUCAAGCCAUGAAAGCCGGGGGCGCCC